rnacentral:lncRNA from 1 species
GGGGACACGACAGGUGCGGCCUGGACACGGGUGGGGAGAUGCAGAAAGAGGGCAGGGGAGAGGCCUGGGGGCAGGUGGGUUUGGGACAGGACAGCUGGGGGGGGGACACGACACCCCUGAGGGGAGCUGCCUCACUGCCGGGAGCAGCUCAGCUACAGGGGGUGACCGGGGGGGGGGGGGCUUGUGCCAACUCUUGUGCAACUGGCCUGAGCAAAUGGGUGCGUUUCAGGCUGCCUGCCCUUGGCCGAACUGUAUCCGGUUUAUAGCCAGAAGUGUGUGUGGGGGGGGAAAUAAAAAAAAACAACCCUUCAUGGGCCAAACACAUGGCCUCCCGAGCUGUGGUCUUGGCUCUCAGUGGUGGGUUUUGAACUUGAUUACAGCUGGAGGAAUUCUAAACAGUCCACCUCUCCUAGUCAUGGUGUUUAAGCGCAUUGUGCUCCUGUCUGAGCAGAGGAAAUCACUGAGGUGUCCACCUGCCAGGCUCUCCACUAGCCAUCACGUCACCUAG